rnacentral:rRNA from 1 species
GUGAGGAAUUUUCCGCAAUGGGCGAAAGCCUGACGGAGCAAUGCCGCGUGAAGGAUGAAGGCCUAUGGGUUGUAAACUUCUUUUCUCAGAAAAGAAUUAUGACGGUAUCUGAGGAAUAAGCAUCGGCUAACUCUGUGCCAGCAGCCGCGGUACGACAGAGGAUGCAAGCGUUAUCCGGAAUGAUUGGGCGUAAAGCGUCUGUAGGUUGUUUACAAAGUAUUCUGUCAAAGAUUAGGGCUUAACCCUAGAUAGGAAGAAUAACCUUUUAAGCUAGAGGAUGGUAGAGGCAGAGGGAAUUCCCGGUGGAGCGGUGAAAUGCGUGGAUAUCGGGAGGAACACCAAAGGCGAAGGCACUCUGCUGGGCCAAUACUAACACUGAGAGGCGAAAGUGAGGGGAGCAAAUGGGAUUAGAAACCCGGGUAGUCC